CGUUAAACUUAAAUUCUGGCUCGGUUAUGUUUUUAACUGUUUUUUAUAAGUGUUGAACUUUUUUUUUUACGAUAAACUAUCAAUGCAUUCUGUGGAGGGAGCACCUGUAACAUGGCAAGAAAAAUUGCAGAAAGUACCAGAAUUGAUUGGCUAUGAGGGUUUUCUAUAAUAAAAUAAAUGUUUAAAGUACUUUCAACACAGCCAGAUCGAUUUUUUCUUCUUUUUUUUAAUUUACCUAUCUAUCUUUUUGGCUCAUUUAUGUCUCCUGAUUUACAUUACAGUUCUAAUUUCCCUUUUCUCUCGACCCAUAUCUUUCCGGUGCAACUAUAGGGAUAUAUCUCUUUUCAAUUUACCUGUCUUCCAAACCGGUAUUCUUCUUUUUACCGAAAGCCUAAUACUGAACUUGCAUACAACAAAAGCAUAUUUAUAGGGGUUCAAAUUACGUAAAUUACCCUAGUGAUUGAAAAAAUCGCAGCAUGUUUUUCGUAACGGUAGUAACGUCGUAACAUGUCGAGGUAGAUGUUUUUUAUUAGCCUGUGCAGCCUUCGAUGCUGUCUUGCUCUUCCCCAUAGGAAUUUUGACGUUUACUGAGGUCCCCGUUUUCAAAAAUUAAGAAGGAGUGAGGAAGAUAGCAGAAACUGGUGCAAAGGCUAAUUGUUACCUAGCUUUAGGUAAAAUGGACACAAGGCAUUGAGGUUGAAUAAGGUCGAAUCCACCUCAUUUCUAUUAUAAAAGACACAAGCAAUCAUUCUAAUGUUGUCAAUUGAACGAACCAGAAAGUGAAAAGUGAGAAAAAAAACGCCGGUUGAGGCUUGCAGAUGGCAAUUCGUAUGUCUAAUUUUGUCGAAAUGUAUCCCCAUCUGUUCCAUGGGUUCUAUGAGCGCAACAUCCGAUACUAUUUAUAAAGGAAGCAAGAGCCAUUCGGAUGCAAUAACCUUUAAGAUUUGCUUUUGAUAAAAUCAAAGUGUAAGAAAAAAACAAGAAGAUAUAAAUAUACGCUAAGAAAAUUUAAAAAAAAUAA